UACAGAGGGUGCGAGCGUUGUCCGGAAUCACUGGGCGUAAAGGGCGCGUAGGCGGUCUCUUAAGCGUGUGGUGAAAGCCCGGGGCUCAACUCCGGAUCUGCGGUGGGUACGGGCAGACUAGAGUGCAGUAGGGGAGACUGGAAUUCCUGGUGUAGCGGUGGAAUGCGCAGAUAUCAGGAGGAACACCGGUGGCGAAGGCGGUUCUCUGGGCAUUACCUGACGCUGGAGGAAGCGAAAGCAUGGGGAGCGAACAGG
rnacentral:rRNA from 1 species